GUGGGGAAUAUUGGGCAAUGGGGGAAACCCUGACCCAGCGACGCCGCGUGAGGGAAGAAGGCCUUAGGGUCGUAAACCUCUGUUGUGUGGGAAGAAGAGCGUGACGGUACCACACGAGGAAGUCCCGGCUAACUACGUGCCAGCAGCCGCGGUAAUACGUAGGGGACGAGCGUUGUCCGGAUUUACUGGGCGUAAAGGGCGCGUAGGCGGUCAUUUAAGUCAGCUGUGAAAUGGUUUGGCUUAACCGGAUCAUGCGGUUGAAACUGGAUGACUGGAGUGCUGGAGAGGAAAGUGGAAUUCCAAGUGUAGCGGUGAAAUGCGUAGAUAUUAGGAAGAACACCAGUGGCGAAGGCGACUUUCUGGACGAAAACUGACGCUGAGGCGCGAAAGCCAGGGGAGCGAACGGGAUUAGAAACCCUAGUAGUCC
rnacentral:rRNA from 1 species